UGGGGAAUAUUGCACAAUGGACGGAAGUCUGAUGCAGCGACGCCGCGUGGGGGAUGAAGGCUUUCGGGUUGUAAACUCCUUUCAGUACAGAAGAAGCUUUAUUGUGACGGUAUGUGCAGAAGAAGCGCCGGCUAACUACGUGCCAGCAGCCGCGGUAAUACGUAGGGCGCGAGCGUUGUCCGGAAUUAUUGGGCGUAAAGAGCUCGUAGGCGGUUUGUCGCGUCUGCUGUGAAAGACCGGGGCUUAACUCCGGGGCUGCAGUGGGUACGGGCAGGCUGGAGUGCGGUAGGGGUAACCGGAAUUCCUGGUGUAGCGGUGGAAUGCGCAGAUAUCAGGAGGAACACCGGUGGCGAAAGCGGCUUUUUGGCCUGCAACUGACACUGAGGCGCGAAAGCGUGGGGAGCAAACAGG
rnacentral:rRNA from 1 species